UAGGGAAUCUUCGGCAAUGGACGAAAGUCUGACCGAGCAACGCCGCGUGAGUGAAGAAGGCUUUCGGAUCGUAAAACUCUGUUGUUAGAGAAGAACAAGGACGUUAGUAACUGAACGUCCCCUGACGGUAUCUAACCAGAAAGCCACGGCUAACUACGUGCCAGCAGCCGCGGUAAUACGUAGGUGGCAAGCGUUGUCCGGAUUUAUUGGGCGUAAAGCGAGCGCAGGCGGUUUCUUAAGUCGGAUGUGAAAGCCCCCGGCUCAACCGGGGAGGGUCAUUGGAAACUGGGAGACUUGAGUGCAGAAGAGGAGAGUGGAAUUCCAUGUGUAGCGGUGAAAUGCGUAGAUAUAUGGAGGAACACCAGUGGCGAAGGCGGCUCUCUGGUCUGUAACUGACGCUGAGGCUCGAAAGCGUGGGGAGCAAACAGG
rnacentral:rRNA from 1 species